rnacentral:rRNA from 1 species
CCUACGGGUGGCUGCAGUGGGGAAUAUUGGACAAUGGGGGCAACCCUGAUCCAGCCAUGCCGCGUGUGUGAAGAAGGCCUUCGGGUUGUAAAGCACUUUUGUUGGGGAAGAAACCGGCCGGGUUAAUACCCUGGUUGAAUGACGGUACCCAAAGAAUAAGCACCGGCUAACUUCGUGCCAGCAGCCGCGGUAAUACGAAGGGUGCAAGCGUUACUCGGAGUUACUGGGCGUGAGUUGUUCGUACUCGGGUGAAAGCCCUGGGCUCAACCUGGGAACUGCAGUGGAUACUGGCGAGCUAGAGUGUGUCAGAGGAUGGUGGAAUUCCCGGUGUAGCGGUGAAAUGCGUAGAGAUCGGGAGGAACACCAGUGGCGAAGGCGGCCAUCUGGGACAACACUGACGCUGAGGCACGAAAGCGUGGGGAGCAAACAGGAUUAGAUACCCUUGUAGUC